UAAAGACAUGGACUUAUGAGAAGAACAGUAAUUAGCCUGAGACUGAGAAGAGAAAGCACAAUGGAUUUUCUAGUGAAGAUUUUCAGCUUCCUACUAAUUAGUGUCACAGUGUCUAAUGGACAAAUUGUUCUCACCCAGUCUCCAGCAUCCAUGGCUGCAUCUCAAGGGGAAAGGGUCACCAUGACCUGUAGUGCCAGCUCAAGUGUAAGCACCAGUUAUUUGCACUGGUACCAGCAGAAGCCAGGAGCCUCCCCUAAGCUCCUGAUUUAUAGAACUUCCAACCUGGCUUCUGGAGUCCCAGCUCGCUUCAGUGGCAGUGGGUCUGGGACCUCUUACUCUCUCACAAUCAGCAGCAUGGAGGCUGAAGAUGCUGCCACUUACUACUGUCAGCAGUAUAGUAAUAACCAAUGCACACAGUGA